AAGGCAGCAGGCACGCAAAUUACCCACUCCCGGCACGGGGAGGUAGUGACAAAAAAUAACGAUACGGGACUCAUCCGAGGCCCCGUAAUCGGAAUGAGUACACUUUAAAUCCUUUAACAAGGAUCCAAUGGAGGGCAAGUCUGGUGCCAGCAGCCGCGGUAAUUCCAGCUCCAUUAGCGUAUAUUAAAGUUGUUGCGGUUAAAAAGCUCGUAGUUGGUUCUGUGUCCCACGCUGUCGGUUCACCGCCUGCCGGUGCAACUGGCAUGCCGUGGGAUGUCCUGUCGGUGGCGGCCGUGACCCACGGCGGGUGUAGGUUCAUGCCGAAGCUCGCCGAUGCGUGUCAGGCCGCCGAUUCAAUCCUGCCGCGGUGCUCUUUACUGAGUGUCGAGGUAGGCCGACACGUUUACUUUGAACAAAUUAGAGUGCUCAAAGCAGGCUGAAUUCCGCCUGGAUACUGGUGCAUGGAAUAAUGGAAUAGGACCUCGGUUCUAUUUUGUUGGUUUCCGGAAUCCGAGGUAAUGAUCAAUAUGGACAGGCGGGGGCAUUCGUAUUGCGACGUUAGAGGUGAAAUUCUUGGAUCGUCGCAAGACGGACUAGAGCGAAAGCAUUUGCCAAGUAUGUCUUAGUUGAUCAAGAACGAAAGUUAGAGGUUCGAAGGCGAUCAGAUACCGCCCUAGUUCUAACCAUAAACGAUGCCAGCCAGCGAUCCGCCGAUGUUCCUCCGAUGACUCGG
rnacentral:rRNA from 2 species